UCACACGCUACUCUGGUUACAAAGCUAAGGCAUCUUUAUGAGGACAUAUUUUCUGCUAUCAUAACAUAUAUAUUGAAGGACCGUACAUAUAUUGAAGGGCCGUACCUGAUCCUAACCUCAAGUCGCCGGGACAGCAACGCUUCAGUGGGAAGUGAACUCACAUAACACAACGACCAUGAUGAGGAUGGCAUUUGUGGUAUUAUUUGCGGUCUUCUUCAUUUUUGGUUCUCAUGCCGAGGCUUCAAGCGUGGAGCAGGAAAGAAAAACUGCUCGUAGUCCUGAAGAAUGCGCGAAAUACGAAUGCCAUACCCACUGGUGCCCUAUCAACUGUAGAUGUCCGGGGUGGUUCGCAAGAAAGACAAGGACAACCACAUGCUACAUGCGAUAUUAGGUCCUUAUUAUUAAAUCGUGACAUUAUCUUUUUAAUGAACGUUUAUUUCUUCACGAUGUUUUAUUAAAAUUUAUCAUUUCAAACCUUAAA